rnacentral:rRNA from 1 species
AUACGUAUGUCGCAAGCGUUAUCCGGAAUUAUUGGGCGUAAAGCGAGUCUAGGCGGCUUGUUAAGUCAGAUGUGAAAAUGCGGGGCUCAACUCCGUAUUGCGUUUGAAACUGGCAGGCUAGAGUACUGGAGAGGUGGGCGGAACUACAAGUGUAGAGGUGAAAUUCGUAGAUAUUUGUAGGAAUGCCGAUAGUGAAGACAGCUCACUGGACAGAUACUGACGCUAAAACUCGAAAGCGUGGGGAGCGAACAGGAUUAGAAACCCCAGUAGUCC